UCCCUGGUGGUCCAGUGGCUACGACACUGUGCUCCCAGUGCAAGGGGCCCAGGUUUGAUCCCUGGUCAGGGAG
rfam:Ovis aries breed Texel chromosome 9, whole genome shotgun sequence.